GAUGAACGCUGGCGGCGUGCUUAACACAUGCAAGUCGAACGAACCUUCGGGUUAGUGGCGGACGGGUGAGUAACGCGUGAGAAUCUGCCCUCAGGAGGGGGACAACAGCUGGAAACGGCUGCUAAUACCCCAUAUGCCGCGAGGUGAAAUGAAUUUCGCCUGAGGAAANNNNNNNAGAGCUGCUUGAUUACUAGUGGGUGGAAUGCUCACACAAGCACAAUCACCGAGUGGUCUGUGAGAGAUGAUCAGCCACACUGGGACUGAGACACGGCCCAGACUCCUACGGGAGGCAGCAGUGGGGAAUUUUUCUGCGCCAAUGGGCGAAAGCCUGACGGAGCAACGCCGCGUGAGGGAUGAAGGCCUCUGGGCUGUAAACCUCUUUUAUCAAGGAAGAAGAUCUGACGGUACUUGAUGAAUAAGCCACGGCUAAUUCCGUG
rnacentral:rRNA from 1 species